rnacentral:rRNA from 1 species
UGUAAGCGUAUACCAAAGUUGUUGCAGUUAAAACGCUCGUAGUCGGAAUUUGGCAGUUCCGGAUGUGUGCACGUCGUGUGCGCACUUCGCGGGGAUUGCUUUUGUGGUCUUGCGUAGGAUGAGGCACUUUUAUUAGUGAACGUCCUCACGCAACCACUUUUUACUGUGAGAAAAUCAGAGUGCUCAAAGCAGGCAUUUGCCGUGAAUGUAUUAGCAUGGAAUAAUAAAAUAGGACUUGGUUCUAUUUUGUUGGUUUGUUGGGACUGAGUAAUGAUUAAGAGGGACAGUUGGGGGCAUUUGUAUUUCGGUGCUAGAGGUGAAAUUCUUAGAUUACCGAAAGACAAACUGCUGCGAAAGCGUCUGCCAAGGAUGUUUUCAUUGA